AUUGAACGCUGGCGGCAGGCCUAACACAUGCAAGUCGAGCGAGCGGCGGACGGGUGAGUAAUGUAUGGGGACUGCCCGAUAGAGGGGGAUAACUACUGGAAACGGUGGCUAAUACCGCAUACUAUCGGAUAACCCAUAUGGGAUUAGCUAGUAGGUGGGGUAAAGGCCCACCUAGGCGACGAUCUCUAGCUGGUCUGAGAGGAUGAUCAGCGACACUGGGACUGAGACACGGCCCAGUCUCCUACGGAGGCAGCAGGGGGGAAUAUUGCACAAUGGGCGCAAGUCUGAUGAAGCCAUGCCGCGGGUAUGAAGAAGGCUCUAGGGUGGUAAAGGACUUUCACCAUCGACGCGGUAGAUGGAGAAGAAGCACCGGCUAACUACGUGCCAGCAGCCGCGGUAAUUC
rnacentral:rRNA from 1 species